GAUGAACGCUGGCGGCGUGCCUAAUACAUGCAAGUCGAGCGAACGGACGAGAAGCUUGCUUCUCUGAUGUUAGCGGCGGACGGGUGAGUAACACGUGGAUAACCUACCUAUAAGACUGGGAUAACUUCGGGAAACCGGAGCUCAUACCGGAUAAUAUUUUGAACCGCAUGGUUCAAAAGUGAAAGACGGUCUUGCUGUCACUUAUAGAUGGAUCCGCGCUGCAUUAGCUAGUUGGUAAGGUAACGGCUUACCAAGGCAACGAUGCAUAGCCGACCUGAGAGGGUGAUCGGCCACACUGGAACUGAGACACGGUCCAGACUCCUACGGGAGGCAGCAGUAGGGAAUCUUCCGCAAUGGGCGAAAGCCUGACGGAGCAACGCCGCGUGAGUGAUGAAGGUCUUCGGAUCGUAAAGCUCUGUUAUUAGGGAAGAACAUAUGUGUAAGUAACUGUGCAGAUCGUGACGGUACCUAAUCAGAAAGCCACGGCUAACUACGUG
rnacentral:rRNA from 1 species